UCUCCUGCACCUAACCUGACAUGGUUCCUGUUUAUACUUCAGUUUCACUGUCCUCUGUGUGUGGCUGUGACUGAGAAUGGACUUGGUUCCCCAGCCCACUCUCCGUCUCCUGUUUUUGUCCUUAGCUGGACAAAGAGAAUGAAACCAAAUGGCCUCCCCUCCUCCACCCCUCAGCCAUUCCCGCAGGACAUGUUCUGGGGUGAUUUCUCCAGUGACAAUUCCAGCAAGUGUCCAGAUGCUUGCAAGUCAUUGGGGUUAACUAGGUGGAGCAUCCCUCCUUGUAAACACCUCUAAACCAGCCUCGAGGCCUCAUGGUUGUGCUAGCUCUUGGUGCCCUGUGGGGUUGAGUCGAGGGACCUGGGCUGGGUGGGCUGGAGCUCUGGUACAGUUGGGCAAAGGAGGUGGGGAAGGAGCAUCAGGUCAGUGCCACCUUUCCCACCCAGCAAGUCGGGGACCCAGCACUGUGGUGAAUGUGAACUGUGCGUGUGCACUCGGGCCUUUCAGGGGGACUGGCUGCAAAGGUGGGUGCUGAAGGGGAUGUGGCUGGGUUUUGUGUCAUGAGCAGUCAGGCUUGGGAGAGGAGAAACUGGAAGCCUGGGACUGCCCAGGCUGCCUUGUGCAUGGCGUGUUUAGACAGCUUCCGGCUGCUUCUUAAAAGAUAACUUCAGGGUCUGGCUUGGGGUGGGGUGCGCCAUCUUGAGCUUCUGCUUUUGUCACAGCAGUGGAUUCCUUCCUGCUCAUGCUGCUCCUGAUGGACCCAGUUCUCAUACAGGCCAUGGUUGGAGACAAAGAGCAGAGGACACCUUGUCGUCCCCCCCUCCACUCUUGUUACUCAAAAGAGCAUUCUCACCAACAGCUCUGUCUUUGUCCCUUGUUUCCUCUCCACCCUGGGUGAUCUUGCUGAGCCUGUGUGUAGGACUGGUGUGUGUGUGUGUGUGUGUG